rnacentral:sRNA from 1 species
CUCUUUUGGCCUGCUGCCAUUCCAGUAGGCUGUGACUUGCUUCUCCCGGCCAUGGUUGUGAGGCCUCCCCAGCUAUAUGGAACUAUGUUGAGAAGGAACAACAUGAUCUGAGUCUUUAGAAACCAAGAGCCACAACUAGCUGAGGACACAAGAAUUUUCCACAAAACAAAGCAGAGUGAUUCCAUAGAUCACUAUUAUAGCUGCAUUACCAGUCCUAGGACAGAAUAUGGAUGCUGAAAAAUGAUUCUUUCAAUUUUUUAUUCCUUAACAUCAAGCCAAAAGUGCUGAGUUGUUGCCUCAUGCCCAGUUGUCUGGCAUCUCUUCACUGAAACUAUUACAGUUAGAUCUCAUCUUUAUGGGUGGAAGGUGGUUGUUCUCAACUCAGUAGGAAAUGUCUCAUGAAGAAAAUGGCCCCUGCUCCUUAGGAAGCAGGCCAUAGGCAAAUACUGACCCUCUUGCCUUCUGAAGCUAAGCUCCAGCUUCAGUAUGCACUUGCUUACCUCCUUCCCCUGUCUACACUGCUUUUCCUUGCUCCCUGUCUCCUGAGAGCAUUCAUUAAUAAAUGGCACACAUCUGAAUCCCUAUCUCAGGCUUUGCUCAUAGAGUCCAACUUAAGAAAAACUGCAAUCUUCAUUUAUAUUCUGUUUCAUUAAGAGAUGUAAUUGUGAAAGAACUGAACAUAUAAAAAAAAAACAGCUUUAUCAUGUUUUUUAUCCUUGUAACUCCAUGUCACCUAAGCAACACAGUCUGAAUACUAAAUUGAGUGUGAGUGCAUAUAUGUGAUGGUAGGUUUUUGUCCUGCUUUCAGUCAUUCAUAAAACCAAACAUGUAUCCCUUAAUUAUGCUCUACUACAUCCACAACUUAUUUUAUUCAUAAAAAUAUUGUGGGGUAGAUAUUAUCACUGUUUUCUUGAUGGGAAAAUUUAAUAUAAAAAAGUUAAGUAUUCCCUCCAAAGGCAUAAAAUUUUUAAUUGGUAUAGUCAUGAUUCAAAUUUAUAUCUUCUAACUAUAAGGCCAGUGUGACUGGUACUCCACUAAAAUAGUCUAUCCUUAGUGGCUUCUACUUUUUGCCUUGUAUUCCAUCAUGCUUAUAGAAGUAGUACCUACUUCCUUUUUCUGAAAAUUUCUCCUCCUUCUACUCCAAAAAUGUUGUUCCCUAUGAAAACUGAUAUUUUGCAUUGUAUCUCCAAACUCC